GCUGCUCGUCUCCUUCAAGCCAGCGACCAAAGUUUCCCGCACGGCCGUCUUGGAAUCGUCUCGCGUGCCCUCCUCCCGGCCCUCGUGUCUGCCGUCUGUCUGUUUCUGUGUGUCCAGCAAGCCAGUCGAAAUAAGCCCUUGGUGACGCCAGGCUCCAGUACUAUGGAAGAGGAGCUCGGUUGUGCCUGCAGUUGACGUGUAUCACUUAUCUCCCAGCAAGUCUCCUGCUAGUAGAGCUAGUAGUUCCUAGUUCCCCCUACUCUUGCUAGCAGAACUUAAUAUUCCCAGGGGAGUAUUUAAGGAAGAGACGCGAGACCAGCCUUCGCAAAUAUCCCUCGCCACAAACAACGCAGAAAGCGAGGAAGCUCCAGCGCCUUCGGGUAAAUCUCGUACGUGCAACGCCGGCCUCGAGGUCUCCAAAAAAGGUUUAAAUUUUAU